AUCCUGCGCCGCGAGGAGGAGAAAAGCCGGCCGUGCGGAAGGCGGGCUGUGCCCCGCACUGCUCCAACGCCGCGGGGCAGCCGUGGGCUUCCGAGCGCCGCCUCAGCUUCCGCAACUUCUACAAGUGACUGUUUGCUUUGCGGGCUGGGCCGAGAAUCUGAGAGUGGAGAGGGACGGGAUGAAGCCUGUUGUCAACCUCGCAUGUCUCCUGUCACUGCUCGCUCUGGGACAGCAGUCGCUUCAGCAGAGGCACAGUCCGUUGUGCUACCAGAAGUAGCGCUCAGCUGCCGUGACACCACCCUGCCACUCCUCUCCAGCACCUGCCCGAGGUCCCUGAUUUCUCAGCAUCGUCCAGGGGGCGCAACGUUCCCCUCUUUCCUCUCAGCUCUCAGCACGGCGUCACUCCUCAGGAGCUGUGGCCACAAACAAAGCAGCCGUCAGUCAGCUGUAAAAGCACCCCGGUACUCUGCAAGAGGACAGAGUGCUCCUGUUCUGACAGCUUCCCUCAGCAGCCCACUACUGCAAAGGUUGGUGGGGUUCCUUUGAGCAAGCUGCUAAGGACAGAGGCAGUCACAUCAGCUGCCUGUACAUUAACUGGGAGAGAGGGCUCUUCCUUUAACGUCUUGAUUUACACCCCCUUAACUGAGUACAACUGUUUUCUAAAAAAAAUUCUCAGCACUACAAAUGAUAAUGUUCAAAACGUGCAUAUAUAUGGCAUAGAUACAUCUCAUAGGAAUUAAAUGAAAACAAACAAGAAACAAACAAACAAAAACAAACCUGUAGCAGCCAAGAAUGAGACACAGCAAUACACUCAAUAUGAACGCUA